GAUGAACGCUGGCGGCGUGCCUAAUACAUGCAAGUCGAGCUAACAGACGAGGAGCUUGCUCCUCUGACGUUAGCGGCGGACGGGUGAGUAACACGUGGAUAACCUACCUAUAAGACUGGGAUAACUUCGGGAAACCGGAGCUAAUACCGGAUAAUCUAUUGAACCGCAUGGUUCAAUAGUGAAAGACGGUUUUGCUGUCACUUAUAGAUGGAUCCGCGCCGCAUUAGCUAGUUGGUAAGGUAACGGCUUACCAAGGCAACGAUGCGUAGCCGACCUGAGAGGGUGAUCGGCCACACUGGAACUGAGACACGGACCAGACGCCUACGGGAGGCAGCAGUAGGGAAUCGUCCGCAAUGGGCGAAAGCCUGACGGAGCAACGCCGCGUGAGUGAUGAAGGUCUUCGGAUCGUAAAACUCUGUUAUUAGGGAAGAACAAAUGUGUAAGUAACUAUGCACGUCUUGACGGUACCUAAUCAGAAAGCCACGGCUAACUACGUG
rnacentral:rRNA from 1 species